ACGCAAUGUUAAAAGUAAGUAUAAAAUGCACAAGUCUCGUAGAUUUGUGGAAGAAUCCAUUGCUCACGAAGGAACUAUCGUAAGAUUAAUCUUUGGUUGCUCCUACUUUUUUUUUUUUUUUUUUACUGGGACCUGUUAUUUUUUUGUAAUAUGAUUUGUUUGCUUUGUAAACAAAGUUGAGCGUCUAAAUAUAUGCUACGAAGGCUGUAUGCGUGAUAACCACAGCAGGUGAAAAUAAGUAGUUUUAAGUUUGUAUGACUGUGGCAAAUAAUUGGGAGAACGAGCUUAGUUUUAGUACAAAAAACUGUUUAGAUUUCUUCAUCGUAAAUUAGGCUGAAUUGUGCGACCCUACAACAUUGACAUUGUCUACGGUCGUGCUGAAAUAAGUGAACGUCGAAAAUCGUCGAAAACUAAGCAAGUUUUUCUGUUUUAAAACACUAGUCGAAAUUUUGGGCAAUGAUGUGAAAUUUUCAAUACGAUACGACUCUCGAAAAACAACUUACAUCC